CCUGUCUUUCAUUUUACUCCAUGUACUAGCAAAAAGAGAGUACUUAAGGUGUUUAUUUCACUCUGGAAGGUUUUUACAAAGAGCAGUUUUUAAUGAAGCACGGCACAUGGCAUCAUUAUCAUUUCUAACACAGAGAAUUCAUUUUCAAUUUUGCUAUCAAAGAAAAAUGACAAAUAGAGAAUGCAAGAAAAACCAGAUGGACUAACUGUAUUAGGAGCUUAGUAUGCAUAUUUUGUGUCACAUAUUAGCAUUCAUUAAGUCAAAAUGGAAAAAAAUGAGUUUUGCCUACAUGCAUUAAACCAAUAAGGCUGGCAAAGUUCCAAGCUAGCUCUUGUGGAUUAAUUGUUUUAUAACUGUUUUAAUUAAAAUUGUUCAGUAUAUGAUUAACCUAAAAGUUUUAAUUUCCACAAAACUGUUGAACAAAUGAGACAUUAAUAUUUUACAUUAACCAUGGUGAUAUUGCUGUGGUUUUUCCAAGCGACUGCUUGUUUGAGUAAACCAUGGAAAGUGGCAGGUGGAAAGUACCUUGUCUCGUGCAGUGCCCAAGAAAACCUGCAAGUUGAGAAUCACUUAGUGAAAGGACCAGUGUGACAGGGUCGUGCGUUACACUGAAAAUUCCUUUGAUGAGGAUUCAUGGAAUCAGCCUCCCCACUUUCUUUCAGUUUAGAGCUGAGCCUCUUAUAAAUUGUCAUGUUGAGGAGGUUAACAGUAUAACAUGGCAAAAAUGAGUUAUUGUGUCUUUUCUUUCUAUUUGGCUUCCUAAUGGUGUUGGGGUACCACAUGAAAUCGUUGGAUUUGAAGGAGUUGGCCAGUAGGGCCUGCGAAAUUAUUUGACGUUGCAAAGCUCUGUGGUUUUAGUUUAGGAGACAGGUACAAAUGUUGAUUUUGGAAUCAAAAGGAAGGUAGGAAAGGUUUGGAUCACCUUUAUUUACUUGCUGUUCUGAAGGUUGGCACCAGGCUGGCUUUAGAAAAACACAUACCAUUUGGUAAACCUGAGGCCCAGUAAAAUUUCGCUCUGUGGAGCUGUAGCUCAAUCAAUAUGUAGAUAUGCCUUUCUGUCACUCAUUCAUCUCCCCACUUAUGCUCCCAUCUUGAUUUAUUUCAGUUUAUUAAGAGAUCGGGAUGGAAGUUUCUUGGAAGCUUAGCAGGUUGAGCACCCAGAGUUGUCACUGCUGUGGUGUGAAUUUGAUUCCUGGCCCUGGAACCUCUGCAUGCCGUGGGUGCAGCCAAAACAAAACAGAAAGAUGAGGAUGUCUUUCUUCUCACCUCCUCUAAGCUUUUUACUCUGACUUCAUUCUGGGUUCAGGUCAUGGUACUAUGUAAAUUUCAAAGUGCUGGUGUUAUUUGAAUCCCAUAGGAGGAUAUUUUAAAAGAUAGGUUUCAUACUGCUUAGUGGAAAUCAUGAUGACAAAAUUUAUGCUGGUCCUAACUGUCCAUAUAUUAAUAAAUUCUUUAGAGUCCUAGGCUGAGUUUACCUUUUGGGGUUUAUGACACUUGGUACCAGAUCUUCUUUGCGGUCUUAGAUCUGCAGAGUCUGGGAUGCAACAUUUGAACGGUAGAAGUAAUAUCUCCCUUGCAUGUACUUUGUCAGGAUCAUAUGGCAUUUCAAUCUAUCCAGAGUUCAGCUGCAGCCCUGAUUUGAUCUCUUCCUUACUUUGUCCCAUGGUUUUUUCCGUAGUACCAUAAACUUUCCUGUGCUACCCUUCCCCUCUGUUCUGUAUAAUCAUUCUCCUUCCUAAAGUUCCCCUGUUUAGCUUUUUAAGCACUGCCCUUUGAAUAAAUUAUUCAUAUAUUCAGUAUAUUUGAAGGAUUUAAUAAUCAGAGUAUAAUCAUACAUUUUAUGGUUGUAUAAUUGUCUGUACAAGUUGCCAUAUUUGCCAGAAACCAGCUUUACACAAGUGAUUUUCAAGAUAAGUGGUUUAUCAGGCGUGUUGCUAUCUGUUCAUUUCUUUAGGCUCUCCUGAGUUCUCUCACUACAUGAAGUUAGAUCAUUAGAAAUGCGCAUACCUGGACUGUAUUAUUUUGGUGCUUCAGAGAAUUGCCGUCAUGGAGUUACAGUACUAUGUCCUUGGUAAAUGGAGAGUAAGGGCACUCAAUUUAAGAAUUCUGUAUCCUGUAUUCCCAAGAAUAUCUCUGUCUUUUGAAAAACCUUAAAAAGACUCUGCUAUUUUAAUGUUAUAAACGCACACACACAGACAAAUCGAUCUUUCUUUGAGAAUUCAAUGCAGGAAAAAUUUUCUCCUGACCAACGUAUGCAUUCUUUUAACUCUCAAAUGUUUACUGAAUGAAUGAAUACUAUGUGGUUAGGUAAGAGUCCUUUUGCGCUUUCUAGUCCUUUCUAGUCUAUUCCGAACUUCAUUCAAUAACCAACUUUAAGAACCCUAAAUCCCUGGUGGUCAAGUACUAUUACUCUUUUGCUUGGUGAGUACUGUUCCCCAUCUCCCCCCCCCCCCUUUUUAGGUCUUUUUAGUCCCACACCCACAGCAUAUAUGGAGGUUCCCAGGCCAGGGGUUGAAUCCAAACUGCAGCUGUCGGCCUACACCACAGCCACAGCAACGCAAGAUCCUUAACCCACUGAGCGAGGCCAGGGAUCAAACCUGCAUCCUCGUGGAUACUAGUCGGGUUCCUUACUGCUGAACCAUGACAGGAACUUCUCCAUCUACUUUUAAUAGGUUUUUCUCUGGUUAAAAUGGUCUUGUUGAUCACGGUACGUCUGUGCAGAAAGACAUGCAUAGCCACUUCACCAUGUUCCCCAUGAAAAGAGAACUCCUCUUAUUGUUCAGUAAGAGGAGUCAAGCAUAUGGUUUUCUGGACCUGUGAGAUCAGAGAUUCUUGCUGUUAAGAUAGCACAACAAAUGCCAAAAGCAGGAUUUUUCAUGAGUGCCAAAUAUAGGAAUAAGAAGAUAGUUGGGGUCUUACUACCUUCAUUUGAUCUCUCUUUUCCAUUUCAUUGUUUAUAAAUGUGUCCUCUGCUCCCCUGGAUCCUGUUUCCAGUCCAGUAGCAGUGAUUACUGUUGAUGCAAACCUCCCAGCUCUGAGGCCAGGUAUUUUCUUGCCCACCUCUGCAGCCUGCCUUCCACCUCUACCCCUCCAUAAAAAUUAUGCUUGUAUUGCUCUUCAUCAGCUACAGGGCUGCACUUUUCUCAUUUGUUUUUCUGAUGCAGCAACAGCCCUUCCAAAAAUACCAUCAAGGCUAAUAAUAAUCCUUUUGCUGCUCAAUACAUCUUUUGUCUGAGGCUUAGUUACUGUCGCAGUUGAUGGCAUGCCAGCUGAUGGUGAGCAACAAAUGAAUGUUUAAAUAGUGUCUAAUUCAACAGAUGUGCCAGUCCAGGUAAUUCUCCCAAUAGUGGCCACACAGCGAGUGGAAGGAGAGCAGUAACUGAGUGUACAGUGGGUUGUCAGCUCAUUCUUGGUAAUUAUAGUUUGACUUAUCUUGCCUCAAUUCAGUUUUUAUGACUCUGUUUGGCUACUUUAUUUUGAUAGAUGUAGCAGUGUGGCUUCCACUUGGGGAGGUUUACAUUUUCAAAUCAUGAGGAAAAUUAUGAUGAUAGCGCAGCUUUAGUAAUUUCCAGUGAUCAUCACCAAAUAAUAUUUUCUGGGAGUCCUAGGUGUAUAAAACUCAUCUUUGUAAGUGCACAUAUAGUAUUCUUUACCCUCUUAUCAAAGCACAUGCUUGCGGCUGGCCCACUUUUAACAUUACUCAAGGAAGGAAGGAGGAAACUGCCUAUCCACUAUUACUACACAGUACUUAAAAUAUACAGACCGAUAUAUCUUAGCACAUAGCAGUCUUUUGUGAAGAUACCUUGUCAAUCAAGAUAAGUAAAUCUCUUCUCUCUUUUCCAUGAACCCAGCAGCCAAAUUGCUUCUAUUAUAGUUCCUUGUAAAACUGUUGUUAAAUUACUUUGUGGCUGGUUAUGUUACUUGGCUAGAAAAAUGGUACUGGAAUUUUCAGCUUUAGUCCUAUGCUGCCCAUCUUUCCUAACUUAUGGUCAGCCAUAUGUUUACACCAGAUGAGGUAGGACGAAUCAUUGGAUACAAGUGCAUUCUUGGAAAAGAUAGCAAAAAUUGUAUUCUACUAAAAGCAUGAAUUAGUUUUUCUCCUCAUAUAUGGGCUGUACGUUCAUACCUAUAGCAGGAACCUAUCAUUUUCCCCCUGGUAUUAAUAAUAAUAGUUUCUUGGUGAUAAGGAUUAAAAUAAACAUCAGGAGAGUGGGGGGAGGGGCAAAGGGGGUUUGAUCAUUGAGGGGCAGUUAAAGGGCUUUUUAGGGACUGUAAUAUAUUACUUCUUAACCGUGACUGUGGUUACAGGUAGUGCUCAGGUUAUUCUUUUGGGAAACAUACCUGUUUUAUGUAGUUUUUUGUAUAUGUGUAUGUAAUAUGUUUCACUGUAUUUAUAUGUUUACUGGAUAAAAAUGUGGAAAAUACCCAAAAGAGCUCAAGGCAAAAAUGUUUUCUUUAAUCCUUCCACCAAGAGAUAAUCCCUUUUCUUUUUGGACAUGUAUCUUCUCAGUAUUUUGGGGACAAAAAUAUGUACCCGUAUGUAUGUUAUAUAUCUAAACCUGACUUUUUGAUUCAUUGUAUUGUAAUAUUUUUGUAUGAGGUUUCAGGAUUCUGUACAAUUAAUUUUAAUAGCUAUAUAAAGUUCUUUUUCUUUUCCUUCCUUCCCUCUCUUUCUUUCUUUUCUUUUCUUUCUUUCUUUUCUUCCUUUCUUUUCUUUCUUUUCUUUCUUUCUUUCUUUCUUUCUUUCUUUCUUUCUUUCUUUCUUUCUUUCUUUCUUUCUUUUCUUUCUUUCUUUCUCCUUCCUUCCUUCUUUCCUUCCUUCCUUCCUUCCUUCCUUCCUUCUUUCCUUCCUUCCUUCCUUCCUUCUUUUUCUUUCUCUCUCUGCACCUGUGGCAUAUGGAAGUUCCCAGGCUAGGGAUUGAAUUGGAGCUUCAGCUGCUGGCCUGCAUCACAGCCACCACAAUUCAGGAUCCAAGCUGCAUCUAUGACCUAUAACACAGCUCACAGCAACGCCAUAUCCUUAAACCACUAGAUGAGGCCAGGGAUUGAACCUUUAUCCUCAUAGAUACUAGUUGGGUUUGUUACUGCUGAGCCACGAUGGGAACUCCUAGGUUAUUUCUAAUAUUUAAAUAUUAUAAAUGACAUGUUUAUCUUGUAGGUAUUUGAAACUAAAUAGCCUAUUUGGACUCUUUAUUUAGUAUAUAGACAUUUCAUAAAAGGUAAAUUUUGUUAGAUAACUGUAGCUUCAAAAACUACUUGAAAGCUGCUUUUUUUUCUCCCUUAAAGAAAAUUGAAAACACAUUCAAAUUUUUCCUUUUAUGAGUAGGUAUAUGUGGUGUGGUGGGUGUAAGUUGAAAUGACGGCAACAUCUUUAUACUCUUUUGUGGACUGGGAAGAUGUUUUACGCAUUCACUUAUUGCGUGUUUAUUGGACAUUAUUGGUAUGCCAGGUGCUUUAUUCCAGAUCUGAAGAUACAGAGAUGGAGACCUGGUUUCUCCUUUCACAGUCAGGCGACAUAAAGAACAUCAGCUCUUGGGUUUUGCCAGCCCAUGGACUCUUGGGUUUAUGGAUCUAAACAUUUCUACUUGGGUGACUUUGCUGUGAUUUAUAUUAUUAAACCGGUGAUUUAGGAGCUUAUAUUCUAGCACUGCUGCUACUUUAUCCUCCUUCCUUAAACCCCUCAUCCCUAAACCCUAUGUCCUUCUUUUAGGCUGACUCCUGGAACUCAGAGCUUGGUGGGCAAGACCUGAAUAGGGCCGAAAUGGAAAUUAUCU
rnacentral:lncRNA from 1 species